rnacentral:rRNA from 1 species
AGAAUCAACGCUGGCGGCGUGCCUAACACAUGCAAGUCGAACGAGAAAGUGGGAGCAAUCCCAUUAGUAAAGUGGCGCACGGGUGAGUAACACGUGACUAACCUACCCUUGAGUGGGGGAUAACCUAGGGAAACCUGGGCUAAUACCGCAUAAUACCUACGGGUCAAAGGAGCAAUUCGCUUUAGGAGGGGGUCGCGGCAGAUUAGUUAGUUGGCGGGGUAAUGGCCCACCAAGACAGUGAUCUGUAUCCGGCCUGAGAGGGCGCACGGACACACUGGAACUGAAACACGGUCCAGACUCCUACGGGAGGCAGCAGUGGGGAAUUUUGCGCAAUGGGGGAAACCCUGACGCAGCAACGCCGCGUGGAGGAUGAAGCCCCUUGGGGCGUAAACUCCUUUCGAUCGGGAAGAUAAUGACGGUACCGGAAGAAGAAGCCCCGGCUAACUUCGUGCCAGCAGCCGC